ACUAGGGAGGCUACCUGCGGACAGGCCCGGCUCCUGGCUCUUCCUUUCCUCCCUUCCCCCUUGGGUCACCGAGAAGACCGACACGUGGGACAAUUCCAGGUAGCUGGGAAGAGAAUUUUAUGUGCUUGCUGAAAGGUGCAUCCACUUUGUUUUAGAGACUUGAAGAGGAGUGAAAGAACCGGGGCAAGCCAAGAAAGUCCGGACUUCUAGGAGGCCGACCACGCCAAAUGGACAGAGAUCAGAGGACGGACACCAAGGCCAGAGGACUGAAGGCGAAGCAGCCUAAAGGUCAUCUGAUAGAGGGUGUUUCACCUCUGCUACUCAGCUCCUUCAUCCGUGUCUACAAGGACAAAGAAGUUACUGAGGAAAUUGGUGAUGGGCCUGGCUGUCCUUGAGGCUGCUCCUGAUUAAGUUCCGCAGGUAGUCGUGAGAAAUGCUGUGCCAGCUAGGUUAAGCUGUGUGCACUGAAGUCAUAGUUUCCCCACAUGCUAGACUGAGAGGCUACAUGUAUGUGUAAAGAUGGUGUACUGUUUCUGAAGUUAGACGUGUGGACCACAGAUGGAUCAGAACAUUGGUGUAUUCUCCCUGUGGACCAACAGCUGUCAGGACACGCUGACAGAGGAAGUCAAGGAGUGGGAUCUCCAUUCCCCACAGUUUGGUUGUGAUGUCUUCAGCUACUAGGAGUGUCACAGGCAGAGGUGGAACCUAAGAUGUAAGCUCAGAGCACAAGACAAUCCUAUGUCAGGAGUAAGGCCUGGAGUGGAGCACUGCUGGGAGAAGAAGAAACUCAAGGCUCCAUCAUCAGCUGGUCAGUGACUUCUUCAAAAAUGAGGAUGCCUGAGGGAGACUGGAAAGGCGGGAGCAGGCAGGUGUGUGACUGGUGUCUUCAUUGCAGUGGGUCAACACUGCCAUCGUGCGGAAAAGCCUUCAGACAUACCUUGCACAUUCAGAAGCCGCUUCCCCAGGGCUGCUUGCAGCCUUUUUGGAGGUGAGAGUCAGGGGCGUUUCUAUGUGGCCGAGCUUGGCGUCCUACCGUUCUCUACUACAUCUUUCUGCAUUUACACUGGAAUAAUGAGCCCCUUUAAAGUCUUACUGUAGAUGCUGUUGACUGAGGGCCCAAUUACAAGGCACAGCUGUGCUGCUGUCCAGAAACAGGAAGUAGCGGGGCGGCUUUGCACUGCUCACUUUGCAGCCUGCCCUGGUGUCCUAGGACAGGAGGCUCCUCACGGCCAGGUUGUGGGGAGAAAACUGUAUUCUGCAUUUCUUUUGGGGCCUUCG